rnacentral:rRNA from 1 species
UACUAUGGCCAUGCCCCCCCAACAUGCCCGAUCCCGGCUGAUCUCGGAAGCUAAGCAGGGUCGGCCCGGUUAGUAUUCGGAUGAGACCACCUAGGAAGACCGAGUGCUGUAGGCA